UCAACGGCCGCGGGAUUCUCCACCGUGCAAAGGUAGCAUAAUCACUUGUCUCCUAAAUAGAGACUAGUAUGAAUGGCCAAAUGAAGAUUUACCUGUCUCUUGAAGCCUAUCUAUGAAACUGAUCUUUCAGUACAAAAGCUGAAAUUUAAACACAAGACGAAAAGACCCUGUGGAACUUAAAGCCACAGCCAACAUAAUGGACCCAUUGCUUUUAGUUGGGGCAACUUUGGAAAAAAACAAAACUUCCAAUUAACUAUCUAGGCAGACAUGCCGACAUACAAGAAAUUAGAUCCAGUACUACUGAUUAAAGAAAAAAGCUACCCCAGGGAUAACAGCGCCAUCCCCUCUUAGAGCCCCCAUCGACGAGCGGGGUUUACGACCUCGAUGUUGGAUCAGGGCACCCAAGCAGUGCAGCAACUGCU
rnacentral:rRNA from 1 species